UACGGAGGGUGCGAGCGUUGUCCGGAAUCACUGGGCGUAAAGGGCGCGUAGGUGGCCUGUGGAAGUCUGCGGUGAAAGCCCGGCGCUCAACGCCGGGUCGGCCGUGGAUACUCUCGGGCUUGAGCUUACUAGAGGCAGAUGGAAUUCCAGGUGUAGCGGUGAAAUGCGUAGAUAUCUGGAGGAACACCGGUGGCGAAGGCGGCAUCCUGGACCAACACUGACACUGAAAAGCGAAAGCCAGGGGAGCAAACGGG
rnacentral:rRNA from 1 species